CAUGCAGUGGGACAGUUAAUCGCUUGCCAAGAGCCCGCCCACUGCCUCUCUGCAAUUAGUCGUGAAGUUGAAGGAGCUCCAAACUCCACAGGCACACUCAGGGCCUCCUACUCCUGCUUUUCAGGGUUUGUUAAUACAUCAAAAAGGCAGUCAUGUAACUGAGCAGAGUGAAGGAUGAUGGAUACUAGCUUUGAUAUUCUCCGACAGCCUUUUGAUGCACCGAGAGCCCCAGGGAGGACACCGAUGAAAGAUCAUUUGAUUGGGACCCUGAGCAUUGGCUAUGCUCCUUCCCACGCUGAGUGCUGGUGACUCUGACAGGCGAGCCGAGCAGAGCAGGUGGCUGAGCUCCCGCACGCGGCCAGGCCAGCUCCAGAAACACCUAACACUUGUCUACACCUCAAAACCAAAACGACUUGAGAGGACCAGCUCAUUGAGCCCUAGCUGCUGAGUCACAUUAGAGACAAAGAAACUGCUCAGGUCCUCUGGUCCCUCUCCCCACGUAAGAACGCAGGAUAUGGUCCCAGACGAGCAGACGGGAAGGAUCACAGUGAAGAGCAGGGUUGACAUUAUUUCCUGGAGUCCGAGGGCCUGAGCAGGGUCCUCCCUUCGUAGGAUCA